rnacentral:tRNA from 1 species
GUCUAAACUUGACUGGUACUUUAUAUGCAAAAAACCCCCACUUGUACAUGUCUGAAAUAGGACAAAUUUAAGCACCCACUUAAUUAGCACUAUACAGUACAUACCAGGGACAUAAUCAAAAUUUGUGAUGGUGGAUCAAUUCAAGGGACAAAUUCCAAGGAGAUAUAGCCAUAAUCUAGUUGAAUUGCAUCAGCUUUUUUGUUUGUUCCUAAUCAAGCACAAAUUCCGAACCGUAAAAUGCCUCUCCAGUCCUCGAGAAGACAUUGUUUCUCUGAAUGCUUCGAAACACCAGGGAUCCUAAUCAUUUUGCCACAGUUGUAAUAUGACUCUGAUUGGAGUCAUUUGGAAAAAAAUGGGCUGCCUGGGGGCUGCCUCUGUAGAAUUCGCCCUGCUGAUAAUUGCCCCGGUCUGUAAUUUCCCAGCAUUGAGAUUGGUGUGUGUGUGGAUCCUAAUGAUCAGAGGUGUUCAUCCACUCAUCCCAGUUAGAGGUAUUUCUCUCAUGGAACAUCUGAGCGCUUCCUUGCAAAGCCAGAAAGUCACAGCUGAAGAGUUUUCUUCCAUUGGCUCGAAAGUGGAUACUGGUCGAUAAGUGCUCACAUGAUCAUUCAUUGAACGGUCAAUCAGGGGCCGUGUCCAAAUAAACGGUCUACAGACAGUAUGGGUGGCUGAACGGCGUUCGCGCUUGUUGUAUACAUCACCUUGUUGUUGUCCGACUGGCCAGAGUAGCCCGGAGCUCCCCCAUCUGACAGCGGAGUCGAAGGAGCACAGCAAGAGGAGCAUGGCAAUCAACGAUCGUCGCAUGUCACAAGCCGUGGAAGCCGAAGACAGCGGCCUCCAGCAACGCAGUCUACAGUCCCAACGAGAGGCCCGGAGCGGAUACCAACAACCAAUAGUUUCUCAGUCCUGAUGCCUGUUCUUCCUGCACCUUCGCCGCUGGGGGUACCUGUAUCUGCGGCCACUGUGCCUACUCCUAAGAUUUCGAAGUCGACAUUGGCAACCUGCUCUGGAUCGAGCGGUGCUUCUACAUCUCCAAAUUGAUUCUAUCAUAGUCCAUGUGGGUUUUAAUGACAUUAUGAAGGGCAGCUCUGAACAGUUGAAACUGGAUUUUAAAAGAGCUGAUUGACUCUCUGCUAGACACUAAUAAAAUACCCGUCUUAUCUGGCCCUGUGCCCUCUCAAUCGUGGCAUUGAACACUUUAGCAAGAUUCUCUCUUCACAUCUGGUUACAUGAUUAAUGCAGCCCAAUGGGUGUAGCUUUUGUGGACAAUUUCGAUACCUUUUGGAAACUAAAACAUGCUUUAUAAGGAGGAUGGGAUCCAUCCAAAACACUUGGGUUUCCUAGAUCCUUUCACAGCAUUAUAAGGCUGCGUUGAGACAAUGACUUAAGCCCAGCUCAGUUAAUCCCUACCAUUGUGAUGCUGAGUUGUCAUAAUUCUUCAGCAAAUGUACAUUAUACCAGGGGUUUUGGUAGACAAUGCAAGUAACCUAAUUUAAGUUCCUCUAAGUUCCCUGAAUGCCUCUGCUGAUCGUACAGCUAUUGUAUGCAGUAAUCAUGUGCCUAUGAACCAGUUUUAUACUGUUAGCACUGAGGCGGUGUGCCCUAGUAGGAAGUCCACUGUGUGCAGCUCACCCUGCACUAACAUAAAUAACAUGAGCAUAUCUACUUCUGCUAAGCUUCCCAGUAAAGCAAUCAAUCAAAACAAGCAUCCCAGAAGGUGCUCAAAAUAGCCCACGUUAACAUAUGUAGCUUAAGAAACAAGUUCCAUGAAAUCAAUAAUUUGCUAGUACCAGAUGACAUUCAUAUUAUCUCUGAAACUCACUUAUAUAGAUAAUACCUUCGAUACAGUGGUUGCAAUACAAGGUUAUAACAUUUACAGAAAAGACAGAAAUGCCAAUGGUGGAGGUGUUGUUGUUUAUAUUCCCGAACCACAUUCCUGUAAAGAUUAGAGACGAUCUCAUGUUAAAUACUGUUGAAGUAAUAUGGUUACAGGUUCAUCUGCCUCACCUAAAGUUCAUUCUUGUGGGAAGCUGCUAUAGACCAAAGUGCUAAGUCAGUAUCUGGAUAACAUAUGUGAAAUGCUUGAUAAUGUGUGUGAUAUCAACAGAGGUAUAUUUUCUGGGUGGCUUAAAUAUUGACUGGCUUUCAUCAAGCUGACCACUCAAGAAAAAGCUUAAAACUGUAACCAGUGCCUGGUUCAGGUUCUCAGUCAACCUACCAGAGUAGUUACAAACAGCACAGGAAUGAAAUCAACAUGUACUGAUCACAUCUUUAAUGCUGCAGAAAUUUGCUUGAAAGCAGUAUCCAGAUCCAUCGGAUGUAGUGAUCACAAUAUAGUAGCCAUAUCUAGGAAAACCAAAAGUUCCAAAGACUGGGCCUAACAUAUUGUAUAAGAGGCCAUACAAUAUGAUUUGUAGUGAUUCCUAUGUUGUUGAUGUAAAGAAUAUUUGUUGGUCCGUGGUGUGUAAUGAGGAACAAACAGACACUGCACUUGACACAUUUAUGAAACUGCUUAUUCCAGUUACUAUUAAGCAUGCACCCAUUAAGAAAAUGACUGCAAAAACUUAAAUCCCAGUGGAUUGAUGAGGAAUUUAAAAAAUGUUAUGGUUGAGAGGGAUGAGGCAAAAGGAAUGGCAAAUAGAUCUGGCUGCACAACCGAUUGGCAAACGUAUUGCAAAUUGAGAAAUCAUGUGGCUAAACUGAAUAAAAAGAAGAAGAAACUACACUAUGAAACAAAGAAAUGACAAAGAAUGACAGUAAAAAGCUUUGGAGCACCUUAAAUGAAACGUUGGGAAAAAAGGCAAACUUGGCUCCAUCCUUCAUUGAAUCAGAUGGCUCAUUCAUCACAAAACCAACUGAUUACGUUAACUACUUUAAUCAUUUUUUUAAUUGGUAAGAUUAGCAAACUUAGGCAUGACAUGGCAGCAACCAACGCUGACACUACACAUCCAAGUAUAUCUGACCAAAUUAUGAAAGACAAGCAACGUAAUUUUGAAUUCCGUAAAGUGAGUGUGGCAGAGGUGGAAAAUGAUUUUGUCUAUCAACAAUGGACAAGCCACCAGGGUCUGACAACUUGGAUGGAAAAUUACUGAGGAUAAUAGCAAAGUGUGUGCUCCCAGGCUUGGAGGGAAGCAAAAGUAAUUCCGCUACCUAAGAAUAGUAAAGCCCCCUUUACUGGCUCAAAUAGCCGACCAAUCAUCCUGUUACCAACCCUUAGUAAACUUGGGGGGAAAAAAUAGUUUGACCAGAUACAAUGCUUUUUUACAGUAAACAAAUUGACAACAGACUUUCAGCAAGCUUAUAGGGAAGGAUAUUCAACAAGCACAGCACUUUCAAAAAUGACUGAUGAUUGGCUGAGAGAAAUUGAUAAAAAGAUUGUGGGGGCUGUCUUGUUAAGACUUCAGUGCAGCUUUUGACAUUAUCAAUCAUAGUCUGCUGCUGGAAACACUUGUGUUAUGGCUUUACACCCCCUGCUAUAUUGUGGAUAAAGAGUUACUUGUCUAACAGAACAGAGGGUGUUCUUUAACGGAAGCUUUUCCAAAAUAAUCCAGGUAGAAUCAGGAAUUCCCCAGGCAGCUGUCUAGGCCCCUUACUUUUUUCAAUCUUCACUAAUGACAUGCCACUGGGUUUGAGUAAAGCCAGUGUCUACGAAUGCAGAUGACAACACUAUACGUCAGCUACUACAGUGACUGAAAUGACGGCAACACUUAACAAAGAGCUGCAGUUCAUUUCAGAGUGGGUGGCAAGGAAUAAAUUAGACCUACAUAUUUCUUAAUCUAAAAGUAUUCUAUUUGGGACAAAUCAUUCACUAAACCUCAACUAAAUCUUGUAAUAAAUAACGUGGAAAUAGAGAAAGUUGAGGUGACUAAACUUCUUGGAGUAACCCUGGAUUGUAAACUGUCAUGGUCAAAAGAUAUCAAUACAACAGUAGCUAAGAUGGGGAGAAGUCUGUCCAUAAUAAAGCGCUGCUCUACCUUAACAGCACUAUCAUCAAGGCAGGUCCUACAGGCCCUAGUUUUGUUACACCUGGACUACUGUUCAGUCGUUUGGUCCAUCUCUCCUGGCUCAAAGUGGAGGAGAGAUUGACUUCAACACUACUUGUAGUUAUGAGAGGUAUUGGCAUGUUGAAUGCGCCGAGCUGUCUUUUUGAACUGCUGGAGCACAACUUGGACACCCAUGCAUACCCUAAAAAGACAUGCCAUCAGAGGUCUCUUCACAGUACCCAAGUCCAGAACAGACUAUGGGAGGCGCACAGUACUACAUAGAUCCAUGACUACAUGGAACUCUAUUCCACAUCAAGUAACUGUUUUAUGGAACAGCGGGGACUGUGAAGCAACGAACACAUGCAUACACACACGAUAAUAUAUGCACUAUAUUGUAAUGUUUUAAAAAUUGUAUAGCUGCCUUCAUUUAACUGGACCCCAUGAAGAGUAGCUGCGAUCCAUAAUAAAUACAAAUUACACUUGCAGUAUGAUCUGUUUUCAAAGCAGAGCCAAAUCCUCUAGUUAAAUAGUGGACCUUCAUGGUCAUGGCUUGCUAAGACUCCAAACAGGCUUGCAACCGCAGGGCCAGCCUGGGGACCUUGUAUAAUUGACCGGGCUGGAAAGGGACUGGAUGGGGACGUUAAUAAAAUUGAGCCAAUAUAUUCACAAGUCGGUGUAAGAUCGUUCACAUGACAGAAAACCAAAAUAAACAGUCCUAGGAGCAAAAACAGGUUCAAAUCAGAGUGACUGAUAACCAUAUACUGUACUUCAUUGAAACGGAAGAAUAAGAUGAGAGAAAGUUAAAUAUCAGGAGGGCAACUCAAAUGAAGGAGGAGUGCUGAAGGGCUAGAGUGAGUCACUGCUGGAAACUUUGAUUGGAUCAUAUACGUUGACAUACAUUUAGAAAACGCAAUCCUUCUGGGGAACUGGAGAGUGCACGCUCUCGUGUUUGUCAACAUCAGCACCUCUACAUGUUGGGUUGGGGAGUCUAACUUAUGUAAGGGGGUGAUAGAGGACAUGCAUGCUGGUUGGGGUACCAUUUUUGCACACAACAUGACAGUGCAAUUUGGUAGUUCAGGGGGAACAACAGUCCCUCUGGUGAGGAUGAGAGAAAUCGGGGUGUGGAACAAAAGGUUCCCAUGUGGCUCAGUUGGUAGAGCAUGGCACUUGCAAUGCCAGAGUUGUGGGUUCGAUUCCCACGGGGGACCAGUAUGAAAAAAGUAUGAAAAUGUAUGCGCUCUCGAUAAGUACGUAUGCUAAAUUACAAAAUAAAAAAAUAAAAAGGUAAAGCGUCGUCGCUUUGCUGCUACUGCUUCUCAGAGUAGAGACCCCUGAACAUAUAUUUAUACAAUCCCCACUACGCCUCAUCUCUUAGCCACGUCCUGUCCCCACCCUCCUCUUCUCCAGUCUAGCUGUGCCUGACAAAGGGAUGUGCUACGUGCAUUCUGCCACCGUGCUGCGUUGAGGAAGAGGUCGCUUCAUCUCUUCUCCCCUAAAAAAAAUAAACAAUUUCGUUGGCAGUAAUAGCCCCGGUUGUGUGUGCUCAACCAGCCCCCGCGGCCGAGGAGGAGACUGUGGGAAGCUUGAGCGUUGUCCCCUCUCCCCUCCCUCCUGCCACAAGGACCCGGGCUCUCUCGCUUUCUGCUUGGUUAUGCAAUGCACGUCUCUCCCACGGCUUGCACAGGGGACCCGCCACAACACAGCCGCCACCAGCUGCAGGUACAGACCAACAUAGCAACAGCUACGCAGCAGCACUCAGGCUUUCCAGCUCUCUGGGAUUUUACUGUUCUACCUGGCUCUUUGGAAUACCACUUGCUGAGCGGUGAGCUGUCUGUAGUAGCCGCCACAAGCGCUAGCGUCUCCAGAGUAACCAAGCGCGGCUGUGCCUCCGGGUUUCAGCGGCAGGCGAGAGAGAGGCGCCUCUGAAAGGCACUAAUUGCUCUGCUCCCGAAGGUGGGAAGCAAGAAAGGAGGAGAGAAGAGGGGGCGUGUACAUUUGUCACAGAGACUGUGGCGCUCGCUCUUUGAGCUGCUAAGAGGGUCAAAAAGACAAGAAGAGCUGAGGAGGAGGAAGAGGGGGGCUGUGGUGGAAUUUGGAAUUGGAAAAGAGAGGGGCGGGAGGAUGGGGAUCGUAGUGGGGAGGGAGGGGGAGCGUAUGGGGAGAGGGUUUCUCCAAGCCCCCUAGUGCUUCAGUUUUGGUGGAGGAGACCUGAGGAAUAAAACAAAAGCAAAAAACGGAGACUAUAGCGCAACCAACACCAAGACAGCAUUUAACCCAGGGGGUGGCGCAGAGGACUGGAGAAUUCAUACGGCAAGAAGGGGGUGAUUUUUCACAGAGAGCAGUGUCUGCGCAGAGCCACGCACCAAGGCGCAGUUGGGAGCCAGGAUCUCCUUUCCCUUUUCAUUCCUUCUCUCCGACGCUGGGAGCGAGGCUACGCAGCCAGCCUCUCCUGCUUCCCCCUAAUGCAGGCUCCCGUGUGUGGCCAUGCUUCUCCGCUCAGGACCCAAAAGCAUGCUGGAUGUCACCCCACUCUUCACGCCGUAGGGUAAGAAACCUUUUUCACCCAUCUUUCAUCAGCUCUCCUCCGCCCUCU